CCUACGAGUCGCAGCAGUAGGGAAUAUUGCUCAAUGGGGGAAACCCUGAAGCAGCAACGCCGCGUGGAGGAUGAAGGUUUUCGGAUUUUAAACUCCUUUUGUUAGAGAAGAUAAUGACGGUAUCUAACGAAUAAGCACCGGCUAACUCCGGGCCAGCAGCCGCGGUAAUACGGAGGGUGCAAGCGUUACUCGGAAUCACUGGGCGUAAAGAGCGCGUAGGCGGGAUAGCAAGUGAGAUGUGAAAUCCUAUGGCUUAACCAUAGAACUGCAUUUGAAACUGUUAUUCUAGAGUAUGGGAGAGGUAGGUGGAAUUCUUGGUGUAGUGGUAAAAUCCGUAGAUAUCAAGAGGAAUACUCAUUGCGAAGGCGACCUGCUAGAACAUAACUGACGCUGAUGCGCGAAAGCGUGGGGAGCAAACAGGAUUAGAUACCCGGGUAGUC
rnacentral:rRNA from 1 species